UACAGAGGUCUCAACCGUUGUUCGGAUUCAUUGGGCGUAAAGGGUGCGUAGGCGGUCGCGCAAGUCGGAUGUGAAAUCUUGGGGCUCAACCCUGAAACUGCAUUCGAUACUGCGUGGCUAGAGUACUGGAGAGGAGACUGGAAUUUACGGUGUAGCAGUGAAAUGCGUAGAUAUCGUAAGGAAGACCAGUGGCGAAGGCGAGUCUCUGGACAGUUACUGACGCUGAGGCACGAAGGCCAGGGGAGCAAACGGG
rnacentral:rRNA from 1 species